rnacentral:rRNA from 1 species
UACGUAGGUGGCAAGCGUUGUCCGGAAUUAUUGGGCGUAAAGCGCGCGCAGGCGGUCCUUUAAGUCUGAUGUGAAAGCCCACGGCUCAACCGUGGAGGGUCAUUGGAAACUGGGGGACUUGAGUGCAGAAGAGGAAAGCGGAAUUCCACGUGUAGCGGUGAAAUGCGUAGAGAUGUGGAGGAGCACCAGUGGCGAAGGCGACUCUUUGGCCUGCAACUGACGCUGAGGCGCGAAAGCGUGGGGAGCAAACAGG